CCUUGCAGCACUGUCGCAAGUGAAAAUGCCUUCAGUUUGGGGAAAAGGGUGGUAGAUCCUUAUAGGAGUUCCCUAACACCUAAAAUGGUGGAGUGUUUGGUCUGCUCAAGUGAUUGGUUGAGGGCUACAACACCUAACUUCUACAAGGAACCAACUGUGGCUGAGCUGGAGCAGUAUCGCGAGCUAGAGGCAAUGGAGAGAGAAACUGCUGGACUUAGAUUGGAUGAACCAAGCUCUUCUACGACCACUGCUGCAACAUAAAGAAGAUGCACAUUUCAGUUUUCUGCCGGUGCAAAGGUUUUGCGGCAUCCCCAUACUGGAGAAGAUGAGGUGAUGGCUGAUCGGAACAUUAAACCAACCUAACUAAUUUUUGUUUUCUUCAGUUUUAUGUAUAAUGGGGCUGCGUAUUUUUCAGUUAAUUGUUGGUCAUGUAAUUUCUUUAUAAGUGUUGUGUUAUUCUUUUUUUUUUUUUUUUUUUGGACUUUUGGAUGCGUUGCAGCUUUGUACUUUGUUGUGGACUUGUGCAAUGUGGCAAUGUGCCGUAUGAUGUAC